rnacentral:misc_RNA from 1 species
GAUGCUGAUGGCCAACCAGUCCCAAUAACUCAAGCAGAGGAAGUCUUAAAUUGGCAAACAAAGAACACAGCAGUAUAAAACAAGACCCUGCAGUGUAUUGAUUCCAAAAUUGACCAAGUCCUCACUAUGACUCACACUCUUGAUCAAAAGGUGGAUUCUUUCACCUUUUUUGCCCAGAACAUGUACAAGGACUUCUAAGUGAAAGUUACCUAACUGUAUAAGGACCUUCGAUCCUUG